rnacentral:misc_RNA from 1 species
AUAACCAUUAACAGAAAAUCUAUACCUUCUAAAACCAUUCGAGAUUUAUUGCGCCUUCUUCUCUUUCUUUCUUCAUUCAGCAGAAUAGUAUCCCAUUUCUUGUCUCUGUUGUUUCUUUUUCUAAUUCAAUAAGAAAUAGAAAAUAUGGUGGCUUUAGUCUCCCAGGAAAAUGUUGUAGCUCUGGUUUCUCGUACGGGUAGACAUUUGCAGCGCUACACUAAAGCUGGUUGUCGUCAAGUUGUUGGCUGCAUACCAUAUAAAUACAAAAAUGGGAAACGAGAUUUCUUGGACAUUGAAGAAGCGUUAGAAGUUCUUGUUAUCAGUUCCCAGAAAGGAAAAGGAUUGUUGUUUCCCAAGGGAGGUUGGGAAUUAGAUGAA